rnacentral:rRNA from 1 species
UGGGGAAUAUUGCACAAUGGGCGCAAGCCUGAUGCAGCCAUGCCGCGUGUGUGAAGAAGGCCUUCGGGUUGUAAAGCACUUUCAGCGGGGAGGAAGGCGAUAAGGUUAAUAACCUUGUCGAUUGACGUUACCCGCAGAAGAAGCACCGGCUAAAUCCGUGUCAGCAGCCGCGGUAAUACGGAGGGUGCAAGCGUUAAUAGGAAUUACUGGGCGUAACGCGCACGCAGGCGGUCUGUCAAGUCGGAUGUGAAAUCCCCGGGCUCAACCUGGGAACUGCAUUCGAAACUGGCAGGCUAGAGUCUUGUAGAGGAGGGUAGAAUUCCAGGUGUGGCGGUGAAAUGCGUAGAGAUCUGGAGGAAUACCGGUGGCGAAGGCGGCCCCCUGGACAAAGACUGACGCUCAGGUGCGAAAGCGUGGGGAGCAAACAGG